GUCGUGAGAUGUUGGGUUAAGUCCCGCAACGAGCGCAACCCCCGUUGCAUGUUGCCAGCGGUUCGGCCGGGGACUCAUGCAAGACUGCCGGUGACAAACCGGAGGAAGGUGGGGAUGACGUCAAGUCAUCAUGCCCCUUAUGUCCAGGGCUACACACGUGCUACAUUGGCCGGUACAAAGGGCUGCGAUACCGCGAGGUGGAGCGAAUCCCAAAAAGCCGGUCUCGGUUCGGAUUGGAGGCUGAAACUCGCCUCCAUGAAGGCGGAGUUGCUAGUAAUCGUGGAUCAGCAACGCCACGGUGAAUACGUUCCCGGGCCUUGUACACACCGCCCGUCACACCACGAAAGCGGGCAACACCCGAAGCCGGUGACCCAACCCUCGGGAGGGAGCCGUCGAAGGUGGGGCUCGUGAUUGGGGUGAAGUCGUAACAAGGUAGCCGUACCGGAAGGUGCGGCUGGAUCACCUCCUUUCUAGGGAGCUCUCUCAACUAGGGAGCCCGUCGCGUCUCCCGAGAUUUUCGGGCGGCCGGCGUACCUAGGAUGUCGACCGGGCCUGUACGAGCUCGUGCCGCGAGGCGCGGGCGCAUGCUGCUGAGCUUUGAGAGACCGACCGCCGGAAGUCCUCCGGCGGGCGCCCUCUCGCCGGACCUUGAAAACUGCACAGUUGGUCAAAUCGAGAAACGGGUAAUCACCGGCCGUCCGUCUGAUUGAAAACACGCCGCGCCGCGGGCCUAGCCCCCGGCUUGGCGCAAGGCGAACGGCCUGAUCACCGUCAAGAUGUCAAGGGCACACGGUGGAUGCCUUGGCACCAGGAGUCGAAGAAGGGCGUGGACGACUGCGAUAAGCCACGGUUAGGCGUUUAACAGCCUUUGACCCGUGGAUUC
rnacentral:sRNA from 1 species